rnacentral:rRNA from 1 species
UACGUAGGGAGCGGGCGUUGUCCGGAUUCAUUGGGCGUAAAGAGCUCGUAGGCGGCUUGAUAAGUCGGAUGUGAAACCUCCAGGCUCAACCUGGAGUCGCCAUCCGAUACUGUCAUGGCUAGAGUCCGGUAGGGGCCCACGGAACUCCUGGUGUAGCGGUGAAAUGCGCAGAUAUCAGGAAGAACACCGGUGGCGAAGGCGGCUUUCUGGCCUGUUCUUGACGCUGAGGCGCGAAAGCUAGGGGAGCAAACGGG